AGAACCCCGGCGAGGGGAGUGAAAAAGAACCUGAAACCGUGUACGUACAAGCAGUGGGAGCACAGAGCAAUCUGUGUGACUGCGUACCUUUUGUAUAAUGGGUCAGCGACUUAUAUUCUGUAGCAAGGUUAACCGAAUAGGGGAGCCGAAGGGAAACCGAGUCUUAACUGGGCGUUAAGUUGCAGGGUAUAGACCCGAAACCCGGUGAUCUAGCCAUGGGCAGGUUGAAGGUUGGGUAACACUAACUGGAGGACCGAACCGACUAAUGUUGAAAAAUUAGCGGAUGACUUGUGGCUGGGGGUGAAAGGCCAAUCAAACCGGGAGAUAGCUGGUUCUCCCCGAAAGCUAUUUAGGUAGCGCCUCGUGAAUUCAUCUCCGGGGGUAGAGCACUGUUUCGGCAAGGGGGUCAUCCCGACUUACCAACCCGAUGCAAACUGCGAAUACCGGAGAAUGUUAUCACGGGAGACACACGGCGGGUGCUAACGUCCGUCGUGAAGAGGGAAACAACCCAGACCGCCAGCUAAGGUCCCAAAGUCAUGGUUAAGUGGGAAACGAUGUGGGAAGGCCCAGACAGCCAGGAUGUUGGCUUAGAAGCAGCCAUCAUUUAAAGAAAGCGUAAUAGCUCACUGGUCGAGUCGGCCUGCGCGGAAGAUGUAACGGGGCUAAACCAUGCACCGAAGCUGCGGCAGCGACGCUGAUGCGUUGUUGGGUAGGGGAGCGUUCUGUAAGCCUGCGAAGGUGUGCUGUGAGGCAUGCUGGAGGUAUCAGAAGUGCGAAUGCUGACAUAAGUAACGAUAAAGCGGGUGAAAAGCCCGCUCGCCGGAAGACCAAGGGUUCCUGUCCAACGUUAAUCGGGGCAGGGUGAGUCGACCCCUAAGGCGAGGCCGAAAGGCGUAGUCGAUGGGAAACAGGUUAAUAUUCCUGUACUUGGUGUUACUGCGAAGGGGGGACGGAGAAGGCUAUGUUGGCCGGGCGACGGUUGUCCCGGUUUAAGCGUGUAGGCUGGUUUUCCAGGCAAAUCCGGAAAAUCAAGGCUGAGGCGUGAUGACGAGGCACUACGGUGCUGAAGCAACAAAUGCCCUGCUUCCAGGAAAAGCCUCUAAGCAUCAGGUAACAUCAAAUCGUACCCCAAACCGACACAGGUGGUCAGGUAGAGAAUACCAAGGCGCUUGAGAGAACUCGGGUGAAGGAACUAGGCAAAAUGGUGCCGUAACUUCGGGAGAAGG
rnacentral:rRNA from 1 species